rnacentral:rRNA from 1 species
UUGACCUCGGAUCAGGUAGGAAUACCCGCUGAACUUAAGCAUAUCAAAAGUCGGGAGGAAGUCCCCCCCCCGGCUGUA